rnacentral:lncRNA from 1 species
UGACAUCUUCUCAUAUAACCUUCGAUCAAGUCGAUUCUGACCUGACGACUAAUUGGUACAUCACCGUUGUUCUCUAUACUCGCAUGCAUCCGAUCACAAAUCUCACUCCAAUUGUCGUCUUUCUUCGGCGUUUUAGCGCAUCCUUCUUGAAUUUCCCGCAUUUCGUUCCCUCCUGUUACAAGUCUCCGGUCAGGUCAGUUCACUUGACGAUUAAUUCGGCAAAUCUCGAAUCUCUUCUCUAUCCCUCUCGUUUUCUCGUGUCUCCUUUCAGUUUAAGUGAUUGAAUCAAUUUUAUCGCAGUCUUAAGAGAAAUUAAGUAAUGCUCUUGGAUUUAAAAUUUUUUUGCUUUCGACUUUAGAUCUCGAAAGUCAAACUCUGCUACGAAUCCAUAGAUUCUCAAUGUUUAUAAUCUUAUUUGUGUUUGACCAGGUAACUGGAUCGUGAAAUUCGUCGUUUUGUAUCAAUUCAAGCUUUCGCGAGCUCAUGGAAUCCCCUGGUGAGUUGUGGUGAAACGUUAUCGUUUCAAUUUUCGCUUAAUUCUUUAUUGCAUAUUUUUUUCUCUCUAAUAUUUCAGUUUAAUUUAGAAAAGAAAGAGGACCCAAAAAGAGAGAGAGAGAGAGAGAGACUCUACCAUACUCAAUUCCUUGCUCAUUCUGAUUUGGCCUGAAUGUUGGCAUUGACUAUUAUUUGUUUUCAUUUCGAUUUAAUUCUCAUUUAGACAGUCUUUUUUAACUAGCAAUAAUCUU